GAAUCACUGAGGAGUCCCAUGAUAGAACGAAACGGCCGUCCAAUGC
rfam:Schistosoma curassoni strain Dakar, Senegal genome assembly, scaffold: SCTD_scaffold0004181